UGGGGAAUCUUGCACAAUGGGGGAAACCCUGAUGCAGCGACGCCGCGGGAGCGAUGAAGGUUUUCGAAUCGUAAAGCUCUGUCCUAUGGGAAGAUAAUGACGGUACCAUGGGAGGAAGCCCCGGCUAACUACGUGCCAGCAGCCGCGGUAAUACGUAGGGGGCGAGCGUUGUCCGGAAUUACUGGGCGUAAAGGGUUCGCAGGCGGCAUGGCAAGUCCGAUGUAAAAGGCGAAGGCUCAACCUUCGUAAGCAUCGGAAACUGUCAAGCUUGAGUGAAGGAGAGGCAAGUGGAAUUCCUAGUGUAGCGGUGGAAUGCGUAGAUAUUAGGAGGAAUACCGGUGGCGAAGGCGACUUGCUGGCCUUCAACUGACGCUGAGGAACGAAAGCGUGGGUAGCAAACAGG
rnacentral:rRNA from 1 species